AUCAUUGAAUCCAGCGGCGGAGCGACAGCAGACCGGCUCCUAUCCCUCCACUCGGCCUCCUUUAUUACAGACGACUUAAAGAGCACAACAUUUUACCCCCUCCUCCUCCUCCCCCCCACCGUUCACAUCCGCAGACAGGGCUUAAUCAUGGAGGAGAUUGACUUUGAGCGGCGCAGGGAGCUGAGGAGGCAGAAGCGGGAGGAGAUGCGUCUGGAGGCUGAACGGAUGGCGAGAAAUGAUGAUGAUGAGGAAGAGGCGGCUCGUGAGAGGAGGCGUAGGGCGCGCCAGGAGAGGAUGAGGAGCAGGGAGGGUGAGGAUCCUAGCGGGCAGUCAGACAGUCUGGUCGUGACCAACAGCCACAGUGUGACGGAGACAGUGUCCGUGAGCAGCUCUUAUGGAGGGGGCGACGAUGAGGAGGAGCAGGGCCUGCUGGACCGCAUGGCCAAGCGAGAGGAGAGACGGCAGAGACGCAUGAAGGAGGCCCUGGAGAGACAGAGGGAGCUGGACCCCGAUGUCGCCGCGGUCAACGAUGGCGCUGCCGCGGAGAAAAACGACGCCGAAGAGGAGAGGCCGUCCUGGCGCCGGGGACGCUACCGUGACAAUGAGGAGGAGGAGGAGGACAGGUCGGUGACGUACGGCAUACGGAGGAGGGAGGAAAAGGAGCCGGAGGAGGAGCAGCAGGAGGAAGAGGAGGCUGCCCCUGAGGAGGCGGAAGAAUCGGAGCAGGGCGCAGAGGAAGAGGAGGAUCAGAAAGAGGAGGUGGAGGAGGAUAAGCCGAGGAGGUCUUACCUGAGAGACCAGGAACACACCGAGGAAGACACAAACUCGAUAGUCAAUGACAGUUCAAGUCAGGAGAAGUCGGCAAAUUCAGUGGCAGAGGUGGAUGCGUUAGCAUCAGAGGAGGAGGAGAAGGAGGUAGAGGAGGUUGACUGUGUAGAUAACAUAUCAGAGAGCAAGUCUGUAAUCCUGAACAAUGACACAGAAGAGGAUUGUGAGGUAUCUGAGAUACUGCAUGACUUAGAUGUGGUGAAGGAACAAGGCGGAGGCAGGGAUGGAUGGGAGGAGCAGAGGAAGCAGAACGGAGGUCUGCAUGAGGAGGCGCCUCCCAAACAGCACAGGAAACCUGAGAGGACCCUCAGCCGUGGCAGCGUUCGCUCCCCGGAAGUGUCAGCAGGCGACGAUCAGGAUGACGCCGCCCGGCUGGAGGCGGAGCGUAAGCUGGAGGAGCUGAAGCGUCGCCGUGACGACGCGGAGAGUGAGGAGUUCGAGAGGAUGAGGCAGAAGCAGCAGGAGGCCGAGGUCGAGCUGGAGGAGCUGAAGAGGAAGAGGGAGGAGAGGAGGAAGGUGCUAGAGGAGGAGGAGCGGCAGAGGAAGCAGGAGGAGGCCGAAAGGAAGGCUAAAGAGGAGGACGAGAAGAGGAAAAUGAAGGAAGAGAUAGAGAGGAGGAGAGCGGAGGCUGCUGAGAAGAGACAGAAGGUGGAAGACACUAUGGACGAGGAGGGUAAACCCUUCAAGUGUGUCAGCCCCCGAGGCUCAUCUCUGAAGAUUGGCGAGAGGGCAGAAUUCCUGAAUAAGUCGGCACAGAAAAGCAGCACAGCGAAGGCAGCUCACUCCACUGUGGUAUCCAAGAUAGACAACAGACUGGAGCAGUACACCUCGGCUGCUCAGAGAGAGAACAAGGAGUCGCGGUCCCCCCGGUCCGGAGCGGUGGAUCUGCCCAUGGUCACCGAUAGCAUACGAAACAUCAAGAGCAUGUGGGAGAAGGGCAGCGUCUUUAACUCGCCUGCAGGCGGAGGAGGCGCGUACAAGGAAACAGCUGUGAUGAAGAUAGGCGUGGCAGGCCGCAUCAACGACUGGCUGAACAAAACCCCCGAGAGCGGCAAAACGCCGGGAGGAAGGCCGGCGGACCUGAAGCCUGUCGACGUUACUAACAAAAGGAGUUUGUGGGAAAACAAAAGUGCUUCCCCAACCAAGAACUCCCAUAGCUAGUUGACUUCGCCGCUAAGUCUGGAGGAAGCCUGGAGAGGUGACAGGCAGAGGGGAGACCAAAUCAGUCACCAAUGGUAUGGGACACUAAUGCCUUGAAGGGCGAAUGAAGCCAGGGACCACGACAAUCCAAGACUCUUCCUUUGAUUCCUUUUGACUAAGUCUUAUGCACCAAAUAAUGAGACCACACCCAGGGGGAACCCCAGAGACAGACGGACAGGACAGACACUGGCCGAGCACUGUACUGAGAAAAACAUAGAGAAAAAAAAAAGGCCAGCAUCAUAUUUUUGUACGGUUGCCGUGUGUAGUGCCUUUGCACAUUGAUCUUUGCUUUCUAAAAGAAACAAAAUGCUGUGAAAUUCGGACGUUGGAUUGUGUUUUGCUUUAUAGGAUCCUUCCAGAGGAAAAAAAAAACUAACUAAAUUUAGAUUUCUCUCCAUUUGCUCCAUGCAUACAAUUUUGAUAUGACAGAAAGGUAGAUUCACGAGAAAGGUUGAGAUGUCCAUAUUCCAAAGAGAUCAUAUAGUACAUCGGUUCUCUCCCUCAUACGGUUCGUUUUCCAUCUCUUUAUUUAUAUUUAAAGCAAAAGCUUCACACGUUGCUAUUUUAUUCAACAUUCACCAGUUCAGGAUAGAAAUAUAAGCACUUCUAGAAUUUAGCCAAUUUCACUUUUAUUAUGUCUUACCAAUAGUGCAAAAAUGGUCUGAGUAAUAUAUGUUAGCACAUGUGUUAUUUUGAAUAUGAAUUAUCAUACUGUAUCUUCUAUAAUAUCUUAUACUCAUGAAAAAAAAAGGUAUUUUGCUUUUUUUGUAUGCAGAAAUGACUAAUCACCAAACAGGCAGUUGCAGGAUUCAUUUUGGUGGAGGUAGGAGCGUUAAAUAUUCAUUUGGCCAUCGAGACUUCUGUCAUGUCGUUUUAUUUAAUGUAUUGAUGUGUUUUGUCCUGUUCUGUCUCUCGGCUGUUUAUAAAACAGCUUCUUUUUUUUUACCUGUUGUUUGAGUCUCACAGUCAAGUCUAAAUCUUCACAGAGGUUCUUCUCAAAUAUUCAAGCAGGUAUCCGAGGUGCCUUUGCUUUCUCUGUAAAACGCUAUAGGAUCUAACAAGUAGGAAACAGGCAACAACAAAAACAAAAAAAAAAAAAAACAGUAGUUUUUCCCAGCUACCUUUAAGCCCACUACUGCCUCUAUACACCACCACACUAUACAAUCUUCAGUAAAUAGUCUCGCCAGCCCAAGCAUAUACUCACAUAGUACAAUGCAAGUACGCGUACCACUAUGUUAAUUCUUCUGGCCUUAUGCUUGCAAUGAAAUGGUUCAUAAUGUGUACGGCAGGAGAGGUACAGUACAUGAUGUAAGCCUUAGCUCGCUAUCGUAUCAGGACUCGUGCUUUUUUAUGCUAACUUUCACUGACGAGGUCAGGAGUAGCACAUUCCAGUUUGUGAUUUUUUUUUUUUUUUUGCACGGCACAUGUUUGGAUGAGGAUGACGAUGUGACGUUUGUGAUCUGUGCUCUGCUCAAAACUCGGACAAUCACAUUCCAUGGCCCCCGGAAUGAGCAGGGGGGCUUGACCAAAAAAAAAUUUUUUUUUUAACAAGUGAUUUAAUGUGUCAUUUAUGUUCCUUUUUUUUAUACUGUGGUUCCAUUUUGUCUCUGCUGUUUUAUAACAAACUUUUUGUCCAUUUUACUUUUCUUUUUUUUUAAAUUCCUUUUUAUUGCCAUGUUUAACCAGACACCUGCCUUUUUGUGUAGAUAAGCCUAUGCAAAGCACUCUAUCUGUAGUUUCUCCAAACACUUCCAGUGUCAUAAUAGUGGCUAGUCUCCAACUGGAUGAGGUUUUAUUUUUAAACAUUGUACCGUUGACCCAAUGACAGCAAUAAAGACAAUUA